rnacentral:rRNA from 1 species
AUACGGAGGGUGCAAGCGUUAUCCGGAUUCAUUGGGUUUAAAGGGUGCGCAGGCGGAUAUUUAAGUCAGUGGUGAAAUCCCGGGGCUCAACCUCGGAACUGCCAUUGAUACUGAAUAUCUGGAAUACGGUUGAAGUGGGCGGAAUGUAGCAUGUAGCGGUGAAAUGCAUAGAGAUGCUACAGAACACCGAUCGCGAAGGCAGCUCACUAAGCCGAUAUUGACGCUCAGGCGCGAAAGCGUGGGGAGCAAACAGGAUUAGAAACCCUAGUAGUCC